rnacentral:rRNA from 1 species
UACGGGGGGGGCAAGCGUUGUUCGGAAUUACUGGGCGUAAAGGGCUCGUAGGUGGCCAACUAAGUCAGACGUGAAAUCCCUCGGCUUAACCGGGGAACUGCGUCUGAUACUGGAUGGCUUGAGUUUGGGAGAGGGACGCGGAAUUCCCGGUGUAGUGGUGAAAUGCGUAGAUAUCGGGAGGAACACCAGUGGCGAAGGCGGCUUCCUGGCCUGUUCUUGACGCUGAGGCGCGAAAGCUAGGGGAGCAAACGGG